rnacentral:lncRNA from 1 species
CCUCAUGUUCACAGAGUGGGGGAGGGUGGGGGACGGAUCCCUGAGCUCAGUGUGUCCAUCUCUUUCUCUUUCCAGCCCUGUCUGCCUCUCUCCAGCCCUCUCUCUCUCUCUAGCCCUGUCUCUCUCUCUGGCCCUGUCUCUCUCUCUCUAGCAAUGUCUCUCUCUCUCUCCAGCCCUGUCUCUCUCUCUCUCCAGCCCUCUUUCUCUCCAGCCCUGUUUCUCUCUCUCUCUCUCCAGCCCUGUCUCUCUCUCUCUCUCUCCAGCCCUGUCUCUCUCUCUCUCUCUCCAGCCCUGUCUCUCUCUCUCCAGCCCUGUCUCUCUCUCUCUCUAGCCCUGUCUAUCUCUCUCUCGCCAGCUCUCUCUCUCUCUAGCCCUGUCUCUCUCUCUCUGGCCCUGUCUCUCUCGGUACCUGUGAAGUGUGUUCUGUGUGCCAGGCACCAUUCUAGGUUCUGGACACAGCAGUGGAGUGAAGAGACGACAGUGUUCCUGGGUUCCUCCACUCUGGUCGAGGAUACAGAAAAUAAAAUGAAUAAGCAACUGAAGUCCGAGAGCCGUGGAUUCCUACAAGCAGCCACGUGCCGGGCCUGCACGUGCGGCUUCAGGCGGAGCUGGGGUGCAAGGAGACCAGCGGCGCGGCGCCUUCCCUCGGAGCUGCGGCGAGUGAGCCACAUUCCUGAGUGUGAGCGGGCACCGAUUGUGGCGCAUGCCACGGGGACAAGUGCAGGUUUUUUUCGGACUGCCAUCUUUCUCUCUCUCCCUCUACUGGAGCUGCAGCUCCAUCCCCGAGGCUUUGCUGAGAGCCCGAAAAUAGAAACCUGUUCUCAUUGGUCCAGGCCCCCCCCUCCAUCCUUUUGUGAUGCCGAUGAUUGAGCUCAGAAGCCACGAGGACCCUCAGAAGGACACCUGUUCUGGAAAGGGUGGCAGCUUCGAGAGAAAUGACUGAUUUGUAGCAGACUAGAGAACUGGUGCUUGCUGGCCCAGCAGAGGUACGCUGCCGUGCGGUGAGGGGCCACGUGGCAGAGACCUGAGGGUGGCCUCAGGGAGCCGAGAGCCGCCCCAGCC